GUACACACCGCCCGUCACACCAUGGGAGCCGGAAAUGCCCGAAGUCUGUGGCCCAACCUUAACAGGGGGGAGGCAGCCGAAGGCAGGUCCGGUGACUGGGGUGAAGUCGUAACAAGGUAAC
rnacentral:rRNA from 1 species